rnacentral:rRNA from 1 species
GGGCCCGCACAAGCGGUGGAGCAUGUGGCUUAAUUCGAGGCAACGCGAAGAACCUUACCUGGUCUUGACAUGCCCGUCAUAGUUUUCCGAAAGGAAUUCGUCAGUUCGGCUGGACGGUGCACAGGUGCUGCAUGGCUGUCGUCAGCUCGUGUCGUGAGAUGUUCGGUUAAGUCCGGCAACGAGCGCAACCCUCGUUCCUAGUUGCCAGCGGGUAAUGCCGGGGACUCUAGGAAGACAAACCUCGUGUAGAGGUGGGAAGGUGGGGACGACGUCAAGUCAGUAUGGCCCUUACGACCAGGGCUGCACACGUGCUACAAUGCCCGGCACAAUGGGAUGCAAUACCGCGAGGUUGAGCCAAUCCAUAAAACCGGGCCCAGUUCGGAUUGGAGUCUGCAACUCGACUCCAUGAAGUUGGAAUCGCUAGUAAUGGC